UGGCUCAGAUGGUAAAGAAUCUGCCUGCAACGCAGAAGACCCAGGUUCAAUCCCUGG
rnacentral:tRNA from 1 species